rnacentral:lncRNA from 1 species
UCCUUCUCUUUUCUCAUUUAAUUGCUUGACUCAUGAAAGUUCAUUUUUCUAUUUGGAAUUGCAUGCAAGGUAUAAGAUAUAAGCCAAGGUGGAGCGUUGUUUGUGAUUUUAGACGUGUAAGCCAAGGUAUCUGAUGAGCAAGGCUAUAUAGCACAGGUCCAAGAUAAAAUGUUAACUUUGUUAUAGUGAAGGUACUAAGGUAGAUCCCUAUCCAUCAUGGAGUAAUC